UUUCUAAUAACUCACUUUCCUGAUAUGCAACUAGUUUCUUAAGAAGUGGUUACAAAGAGUUUGUAGUAAUAGAAAAUGACAGAUUUUUGAAUGAUUGCAAUUUGUUGUUUUGUAAAAGAAUCAUGUGAAGCUCUUAAGAGUAGCACAACUUUUUGUUAGCAAGCAAAGCUCUGCUGUUAGCUACUUGGGCCACACAUCAUAGACACCAUAUUGGCAACCUUAGAAACUCCUGUUUUGUCAUCAACCACUUUGUCCUCUACCAUGAGCGUUUCUUUUUUCUCGGAAAAAGAUUAUUAGUAUUUUAUAACUAAUGUUUUGCUUUUCAAUUGCUAAAGAUUGGUUAUUAUCUGGUUGCUGUUGAGAAUGAUUCAGGAACUGUUGGUUUUUCUUCCAAGAAUCACUCUCUUGAAUCUUGAUGGCUCCUGUGUUGAACAUGCAGAUCAGGAUAUGCUCUGUUUUGUGUUAGAAGGAAGUCUCUGAAGAACAAGGUACAUAUUAUAUAACAGGGUUCCAACGGAGAACCGUGCAGAUAACUUAUUUGGGACAGCUUCUACAAAAAAACAUAUUCCGGCAAAAGAAAACAAUGCAACUACCUACACAUGGCUUAUUAAAGGCAAACAACACGAUUGGUGAGACCCCUGAAACGUCUCUCUUCACUACAGGAUUUGGAUUCUUUGUGAACCCCCAUAUCUUCUUCUCUCAUUCGCCAUGAGUUUUAUUUGGUUUUGCUCACCUUCCCUCUACUCUGGACACGACUAGCUGCACUUGUUCUUGUUCUAGCUUUGAGGUCUGAUUUUUCUCCUUCGUUGCUGAUUGUUUUCUCUGUGUGUUGGCGUUUUUGAAGGUAGACUUGUUUAGAACCAUUCUUCCUAGCUGCAUGUUUGUUGAUGUGCUUUGGAAGCUGAUUGCUAGGCCCCGAGGAUGCAUCAGAAGCCAUGGAAUCAUCACUCUCUUCAUCACCACCAUCAUCACUAGUAUCGCCAUCAUCGUUCUCAUAACCAUCAUCAGCCUCUUUAACCUGUGUAUCAUCAUCAUCAUCAUCGACAACAACAGAUGAUUGGUCAUUUCCAUGGAAGGCGUCUUCUAUGUACAUAGUCCACCCUGACUCACAACUGCUGUAUUCCUCCUCUUCAGAGCCUCCAUGGUUUCUCGGAGACUCCAUGGCUUCACGCAACAGAAAGAGGAAAACAAAACCAAGGUCUCAAAAUUAGCUUAUAUGCACAGACACAAAAAGAUCACUUACUUCUUCUAGUUACGUACCUUAUGUGAUCCAAUCCACUUCACCAAUUUACUCUCUGAUAUAGGUAUCAAGAAAAGCCGGAGCCUAUAGGAAGCCUCAUAUAAUUGAAGAGAAGGAGUAAGUUUCACCACAUGGCAACCCUAGCACCAUUGUUUUCACUCAAUUGAAGCACUACCAGACAAAGCUCAUUGCAGAUAUAUAUCAAGGGAAGGAAGGUUAGUGCCUCCCUUCAUUAUAAAGUACACUCUCUUAUAGAAUUAAAAGCCUAUGCUCUUCUUUUUCAAUAUCAACUAACUAUACUUUUCUUUAAACAAAUAUUUUGGUUCCUAACAAACCAUAAUCUAGUCUUAGAGUCAGGACACAUCAAUAUCCACAGAACAAGAAUCAUCCUUGUAAGCUCUGUCAUUAGUUAUAUGACUUCUUAAUUGAUAUGUGAAGUUAUAAGUUAUCUCUAUCUCUCUCUCUCUUCUCUUCUCUCUAUGUAUGACUCUGGCUAUCUUAAAUAGAAAAGAUCAGCUUUUGAGGUGGAAAUCAGAAGAGACCCACAUGAACAAACAAGAAGGAAUAAAAGAAGCAUUUACUUAAUUAGGUUAAGAGCUGUUCCUCUUUCUCAUUCCUUUAAUACUCUUCUUCAUCCUCCAAUCCUCUCUCAUUGUCUUUAAAAUUGUUGCAGCCUUUUACUUCAUCUCUCAUUGUAUUGAAAAGGUUUACACAACUGGAUUUUGUUUGUCAUUUUUGUUUUAAAAGAUAAGGACAAAACAAAAAGAAGUAAACAACUGUCACAAACCCCAAAAUAAAAGUAAAAGACAGAAUUUGCAAAUUACAAGAAUAAAUUGUCUUCAUUGCGUUUCCUGUUUCUCUGGCGUCACCUUAAAAUGUUCUUUCAGUGGAGGCCCUCUUGGUGACAGCUUGCAAAUCAAGUGUGUGAUGAGAGUUCAUUUUACAAAAGGGUUGUUUUGUUUUGACUUUGACUCUUGUUUGAAUAUUGUGUAAACAAAGAUAUUAAGACAUUAUACAUUAGUUUGACUCUACUUUUAAUAAUGUAUCA
rnacentral:lncRNA from 1 species